GUCCACGCCCUAAACGAUGGCAACUAGUUGUUGGGGGAAACCCCUUAGUAACGAAGCUAACGCGUGAAGUUGCCCGCCUGGGGGAGUACGGUCGCAAGAUUAAAACUCAAAGGAAUUGACGGGGGCCCGCACAAGCGGUGGAUGAUGUGGUUUAAUUCGAUGCAACGCGAAAACCUUACCUACCCUUGACAUGCCAGGAAGCCAGCUGAGAGGUUGGCGUGCCCGAAAGGGAGCCUGGGGCACAGGUGCUGCAUGGCUGUCGU
rnacentral:rRNA from 1 species